rnacentral:lncRNA from 1 species
AAAAGGACAAGAAAUACCUCAAUGAAGACCUUAGUCCCUUGGCCAAAGUUUUUGAUGAGAUUGCCAAGCUCCAAUAGCUCAACUAGUCGCUGCCUCCCUUUUGUUGUCUGCAAGGGUGUUGUGGAAAUAUUGGGAGAGAGGAGGUCUGAGAGAUGUAUGGAGAGGUGAGGAGCUUUUCUCUUUUUUUUUUUUUCUUUUUUU